rnacentral:lncRNA from 1 species
GUGGAGCGGGCUGGACGACGCUGAAGUAGUCAUCUUCGUCGGCCCCGUCACUGCGUACGCAUACUCCUUCAAUUUUUCCCUCCUACUGGUACAUAUUCUUCCCAAGUUCCACUCCAUUGCUAAUUCUGAAAUUUUGUUUGCUUAAUUCGAAUCUGAAAUUAUUUUUCCUUGAUUUGAUAUCUUACAUUGCAUUCUAAUUAUUUAUGUUGCUGCUUGCAUCACUUUUUCAGGUGUUGUGAUCUGGAGAAGCUCAAGUAGUCAUCUUCGUCCAUCACGUCACUGCAUACGCAUAUGCCUCUGAUUUUUGACUCCUGGUACAUACUCUUCCCAAGUUCCCCUUGGUGCCUAAUUCUGUAUUUUUUUGCUUAAUUCAAAUCUGAAUUAAUAAUUCAGAUUUUUUGUUUCCUUGAUUGAAAUCUGAAUUAAAUUU